GGCCCAUUAGUCUAGGGGUUAGGACGUUGGAUUUUGAUUACGCAAUCAGAAUCUCUUCCAAAGACGCCAGUUCGAAUCUGGCAUGGGCCU